UACGAAGGGGGCUAGCGUUGCUCGGAAUCACUGGGCGUAAAGGGCGCGUAGGCGGCGUUUUAAGUCGGGGGUGAAAGCCUGUGGCUCAACCACAGAAUGGCCUUCGAUACUGGGACGCUUGAGUAUGGUAGAGGUUGGUUUAACUGCGAGUGUAGAGGUGAAAUUCGUAGAUAUUCGCAAGAACACCGGUGGCGAAGGCGGCCAACUGGACCAUUACUGACGCUGAGGCGCGAAAGCGUGGGGAGCAAACAGG
rnacentral:rRNA from 1 species